GGAAUAUUGGACAAUGGGCGCAAGCCUGAUCCAGCCAUGCCGCGUGCAGGAUGACGGUCCUAUGGAUUGUAAACUGCUUUUGUACAGGAAGAAACACUCCGACGUGUCGGAGCUUGACGGUACUGUAAGAAUAAGGAUCGGCUAACUCCGUGCCAGCAGCCGCGGUAAUACGGAGGAUCCAAGCGUUAUCCGGAAUCAUUGGGUUUAAAGGGUCCGUAGGCGGUUUAAUAAGUCAGUGGUGAAAGCCCAUCGCUCAACGGUGGAACGGCCAUUGAUACUGCUAAACUUGAAUUAUUAGGAAGUAACUAGAAUAUGUAGUGUAGCGGUGAAAUGCUUAGAGAUUACAUGGAAUACCAAUUGCGAAGGCAGGUUACUACUAAUAUAUUGACGCUGAUGGACGAAAGCUAGGGGAGCGAAUGGGAUUAGAUACCCGAG
rnacentral:rRNA from 1 species